UACAGAGGUCUCAAGCGUUGUUCGGAUUCAUUGGGCGUAAAGGGUGCGUAGGCGGCGCGGUAAGUCGGGUGUGAAAUCUCGGAGCUUAACUCCGAAACUGCAUUCGAUACUGCCGUGCUUGAGGACUGGAGAGGAGACUGGAAUUUACGGUGUAGCGGUGAAAUGCGUAGAUAUCGUAAGGAAGACCAGUGGCGAAGGCGGGUCUCUGGACAGUUCCUGACGCUGAGGCACGAAGGUCAGGGGAGCAAACGGGAUUGAG
rnacentral:rRNA from 1 species